AAAAACAUAGUCCUGUCUCUCGUUGGUCGCAGACUGUGGUGCCCAUGGCUUGGUGUGACCCAUUGGGAGGUCAUGACACUCUGGCCCUUAUGCUUUCUGAUCUCUGUGCUGACAAGAGCUCAAACCACGGAUGGGAUCCUGCUUCUCAAAACAGCACCGUAAAGACAGGAGGGCCUGACAGUCCUCUCGGGUGACAGGUGACAGGCUCUGCUUUUCCACACACGCCUGUAACAAACCCCUCGGCACGAAUGUGUGUGGGGUGUCAGCUGGGCUCCAAGGAACUUCUCAAUGCUUCCGAAUGAGGAGUGUGGUCUUUGGUGAAAUUGGAGCAAACAUUCAGCUGUGAGCGCCAGAGACCUCCUGGGAGCCUGAUCCAAGCCCAGAAAGUGCUGGAAGGAAGAGUGGUGACCACUUCUAAAAAGUCAGAUGGCUGCGACUGAGCUCAGAGGUAGAUUCAGGAGCCUGCUGUGUUCAUUAAGCAGUGGCAGAGAAAAUAUUCACUCAACUCUGUAAACGCUCACCUCACACAUGCUCAGCGCCUGCCCCUGACAGAAGACUCAACUAUAGCGAGAGGCUGGCAUGAAAUGAGUGAAUACAGGAGCUGAUAGGAGGAUACCGUGUGGCGUGUACAGGCUGUCUUGAACGUGCAGGCAUUGCUCCUCCAAAGGUUUUAUUGUACGUUUGCCUUGAUUCCUUCAUGGUUUUCAGUGUGGGACUGAGCCCAGGACCUCAUCCAUGCCAGGCAGACACUCUAUGCCAAGCCCCGGCCCUUUUUCCUCAGAGGCAGAGGGGUCACGAGUCCCACUGAGUUGCCCAAGCUGGCCUUCAGCAGUAAUCCUCUUGCCUCAGCCUCCCGAGUAGCUGGCACGUCAGACGUGUGCCCAGCUCUGUGACUCCAGCACCUCCACCACACCCUCCUCUCCCUCAUGGAGCUCUGGUCUUUCUCCGUGAAGCAGGAUUCCAGCAUGUGCUUUGAGGUCAGAAGGACAUGUGGAGCCAGGGUCCUGGUGCUUUGUGGUCCUAAAAUCCACCUCUGAAGGGUGGGGA